rnacentral:rRNA from 1 species
UACGAAGGGGGCUAGCGUUGCUCGGAAUGACUGGGCGUAAAGGGUGCGUAGGUGGCGGGGCAAGUCUGGUGUGAAAUCCCGGGGCUCAACCCUGGAACUGCACUGGAUACUGCUUUGCUAGAGUACUGGAGAGGGAACUGGAAUUUACGGUGUAGCAGUGAAAUGCGUAGAUAUCGUAAGGAAGACCAGUGGCGAAGGCGAGUUCCUGGACAGUUACUGACACUGAGGCACGAAGGCCAGGGGAGCAAACGGG